UACGUAGGGUCCGAGCGUUGUCCGGAAUUAUUGGGCGUAAAGAGCUCGUAGGCGGUCUGUCGCGUCGGCUGUGAAAACACGGGGCUCAACUCCGUGCCUGCAGUCGAUACGGGCAGACUAGAGUUCGGUAGGGGAGACUGGAAUUCCUGGUGUAGCGGUGAAAUGCGCAGAUAUCAGGAGGAACACCAGUGGCGAAGGCGGCUUCCUGGCCUGUUCUUGACGCUGAGGCGCGAAAGCUAGGGGAGCAAACGGG
rnacentral:rRNA from 1 species